UGGGCUAGACAUCCAAUCCUCAUGCCUCUC
rnacentral:piRNA from 1 species